rnacentral:rRNA from 1 species
CCUACGGGUGGCAGCAGUGGGGAAUAUUGGGCAAUGGAGGCAACUCUGACCCAGCAACGCCGCGUGAAUGAUGAAGGUCUUCGGAUUGUAAAGCUCUGUGAUGGGGGAUGAACACAAGGACGGUACCCCAUUAGCAAGCCACGGCUAACUACGUGCCAGUAGCUGCGGUCAUACGUAGGCGGCAAGCGUUAUCCGGAAUGACUGGGCGUAAGGGGCGCGUAGGUGGUUGAGUAAGUUUGCGGUGAAAUUCCAGGGCUUAACCUGGGUGCUACCGCCAAAACUAUUAAGCUAGAGUGCAGGAGAGGUAAGUGGAAUUCCUAGUGUAGCGGUGAAAUGCGUAGAUAUUAGGAGGAACAUCAGGGGCGAAGGCGGCUUACUGGACUGUAACUGACGCUGAGGCACGAAAGCGUGGGGAGCAAACAGGAUUAGAUACCCUUGUAGUC